AAUCGUCAACUGAUUGCUGAAUAAAGAAAAGCGCCUUAGCAUCUUUUUUCAGAUUCUCUCCGGUUGUUUCCUUGCAUCCUUUUUCGACAAAAUCCCAUAAAUCUUGGGAUCGCAGCAACGUCCGCAUCUUCACGCACCAAAAAUCAUAAUUGUCCCCCUUGAAUAUCGGAAAUCCUUGUGCAACUCCGUUAGCGCUGUUAAACGCCAUCGACACCUUCUCCUCUCGAAAUCCAGGCUCUGAUACCACUUGUUACGGCGGUGGACAACCAACAAAUACGUUCUAUAUACUUGUUAUGGUAUAUAGAGAUCUCCACAAAAAAUAAAAUAGAAAAGACGAGAGAGGAAGAAGACAAAUCAAAAAAUCUAGUACGUUGUUGUGGAAGCAAAAGGAAACUAAUAAUAAUGAAGAAAAGU
rnacentral:lncRNA from 1 species